GACGAACGCUGGCGGCGUGCUUAACACAUGCAAGUCGAACGGAAAGGCCCUGCUUUUGUGGGGUGCUCGAGUGGCGAACGGGUGAGUAACACGUGAGUAACCUGCCCUUGACUUUGGGAUAACUUCAGGAAACUGGGGCUAAUACCGGAUAGGAGCUCCUGCUGCAUGGUGGGGGUUGGAAAGUUUCGGCGGUUGGGGAUGGACUCGCGGCUUAUCAGCUUGUUGGUGGGGUAGUGGCUUACCAAGGCUUUGACGGGUAGCCGGCCUGAGAGGGUGACCGGCCACAUUGGGACUGAGGUACGGCCCAGACUCCUACGGGAGGCAGCAGUGGGGAAUAUUGCACAAUGGGCGGAAGCCUGAUGCGGCAACGCCGCGUGCGGGAUGACGGCCUUCGGGUUGUAAACCGCUUUCGCCUGUGACGAAGCGUGAGUGACGGUAAUGGGUAAAGAAGCACCGGCUAACUACGUG
rnacentral:rRNA from 1 species